rnacentral:tRNA from 1 species
UCCCUGUAGCUCAAACAGUAAAGAAUCUGCCUGCAAUGCAGGAGACCCAGGUUCAAUCCCUGGGUUGGGAA